rnacentral:rRNA from 1 species
GACGGAGGAGGCAAGCGGUAUCCGGAAUUAUUGGGCGUAAAGGGUACGUAGGCGGCUGGUCAAGUCUGGGGUCAAAGGCCACAGCUCAACUGGGGGAAGGCCCUGGAAACUGACCGGCUAGAGUGAGGUAGGGGUUGCGGGAUUUCCCGGUGUAGCGGUGAAAUGCGUAGAGAUCGGGAAGAACACCUGAGGCGGAAGCGCGCAACUGGGACUCAACUGACGCUGGGGUACGAAAGCUGGGGGCGGGAAUGGG